rnacentral:rRNA from 1 species
UACGUAGAGGGCAAGCGUUGUCCGGAAUCAUUGGGCGUAAAGCGCGUGUAGGCGGCUCGGUAAGUCUGCUGUGAAAGUCCAGGGCUCAACCCUGGAAUGCCGGUGGAAACUGUCGGGCUAGAGUCCGGAAGAGGCGAGUGGAAUUCCUGGUGUAGCGGUGAAAUGCGCAGAUAUCAGGAGGAACACCAAUGGCGAAGGCAGCUCGCUGGGACGGUACUGACGCUGAGACGCGAAAGCGUGGGGAGCGAACAGG